rnacentral:piRNA from 2 species
AAAAAAUUGCUGAACAUCGGAGAAAG